rnacentral:lncRNA from 1 species
AAUACACUAAUGGGAAGGCAAUUAGACGAGCACUGAUUAAGUAGCUUUCGUAAUGGUAACACCCCAGAAUUUUUAUUUUUGUUCUUACGAAGGUGUGACACAAUUGUGUAUCUGCUUUAGUGGUUAAGUGUUCUGGGUGUGUGAGAGGUCUCAAGCUCAAGCCAGGACUUGGGCAAAUUUUGAUACUUUUAUGAAUAAGCUCAAUCUCUG